rnacentral:rRNA from 1 species
AGAGUUUGAUCAUGGCUCAGGACGAACGCUGGCGGCGUGCCUAACACAUGCAAGUCGAGCGGGAGUUUCCUUCGGGAAACUUUUAGCGGCGGACGGGUGAGUAACACGUGGGUAACCUGCCUCAUAGAGGGGGAUAGCCUCCCGAAAGGGAGAUUAAUACCGCAUAAUAUCUGAGAAUCGCAUGGUUUUCAGAUUAAAGGAGAAAUCCGCUAUGAGAUGGACCCGCGGCGCAUUAGCUAGUUGGUGAGGUAACGGCUCACCAAGGCCACGAUGCGUAGCCGACCUGAGAGGGUGAUCGGCCACAUUGGAACUGAGACACGGUCCAGACUCCUACGGGAGGCAGCAGUGGGGAAUAUUGCACAAUGGGCGAAAGCCUGAUGCAGCAACGCCGCGUGAGUGAUGAAGGCCUUCGGGUUGUAAAGCUCCGUCUUUGGGGACGAUAAUGACGGUACCCAAGGAGGAAGCCACGGCUAACUACGUGCCAGCAGCCGCGGUAAUACGUAGGUGGCAAGCGUUGUCCGGAUUUACUGGGCGUAAAGGAUGCGUAGGUGGAUAUUUAAGUGGGAUGUGAAAUACCCGGGCUCAACUCGGGUGCUGCAUUCCAAACUGGAUAUCUAGAGUGCAGGAGAGGUAAGUGGAAUUCCUAGUGUAGCGGUGAAAUGCGUAGAGAUUAGGAAGAACACCAGUGGCGAAGGCGACUUACUGGACUGUAACUGACACUGAGGCAUGAAAGCGUGGGGAGCAAACAGGAUUAGAUACCCUGGUAGUCCACGCCGUAAACGAUGGGUACUAGGUGUGGGAGGUAUCGACCCCUUCCGUGCCGCCGUUAACACAAUAAGUACCCCGCCUGGGGAGUACGGUCGCAAGAUUAAAA